UCCCAGCUGAUCUUAGCUCCCAUUCUUAGAUCCCAUUUUAUAUAAGACUGGCAAGAGGUGGCUGCUUUGGCAAAAGAUCGUAAGAACAACGCUUCGUGGCUACAAAGCUGCAAGAAUUGCAGAGGCAAACAUAGAAAGAAGUGAAACAAAACUAUGAUCUGCAAGUGACUACACUGAAAUACAGAAGAUAUAAAAGACAAGGCCAGAGACACAGAUUUAAGAUUGGUGAUGUACAGCCUUGAAAGCAAGAGGAAAGAGCUUGAAAUACAAAUGGAGGAUUCAAAAGGAUUCAAUAAAGGAUUUAAAUGGUCAAGCAGUUUGCUUGUCGCGCAGCCAGGAAUUAUAAUCUGGGAGGAUGAGUAUUUUUAGCAUAAAGCACAUCUCUUGGAAAAUCAGCUAAAAAUAGGACACACAAGCCUUUCGGAUUUGCACUGCACAGAUUUAGGUAUCAGCAACAUAAUUCCCCAGGAUUUGCCUGGGAAUACGCAGGAUGUUCUCCAUUGCUGUGUUUCUGGGCAGCCACGGCUCUGUGUCUGAAGUGAGACCUGGGAUCCCACUGCUGUUUUGCUCUCAGUGAGCCCUUUGCUUAUUUCAGGGAGUAGGUAAACUCCAUCAUUCAGUACAAGACAGUAAAAAAAGCAACAAAAAAGGAAUUAAAAAAUUAGGAAACAAACAUUACUUAUAGCGACAUAAGAGGCAGCAAGAUGAAAACUCUCAGCAGAGGUCCUGUGCAAAAAAAGUACUUAGGGAUCAUAUUUGGCUAAAUACACAGGCACCAGGACCAAGGAAAUCAAUGGGAAUGUAGAAGAUGAAGGUGCAUGGGAAAAAAAAGUGAUUGGAUUACUGAAUGACUCAAGAAGGAAGGCAAAAUUAGGAACCUCUCGGUAAAAUCAAAGCAGGUGAGCUUCUAAGACACAUGGAAACAUCCAGAAGAAUGGCAUGAGAAACUGGCAGAGAAGGCAAGCAGACUGAAUCAAGAAAUCUAAAGAUUGUCAAGAAAAAUAAUGAGACCUCAAAUCAAAUAACAUCCAAAAAUAAGCUAAUACUCUGGAAGAUGCCAUGCUUUUUAAAAAAAAUCAGUUCUAAGUAUGCUUGGUAAAGCUCUACUCUCCCACACGUUUGAACAGAGCCCACAGAUCUUUAGCAACAUGUUUUGCUCCUGUCUACAAAUAUUUGCAAAACUCACAGCUUUGCAAAGACAAAGAUUCUAUAACUACUUCCAGUUGCUAAAUUUAUUGGAGUUGCAGAGGUCAAUAUUGUCUACUUAAAUGUCUAUCUCUGAUGAAGACAGGCAUUGUCAUGAUUUUACCAUAUUUUCAUAGUUGUGUUUCAUUUCUCCUGGUAAAGCACUGCAGAACUAUACAUAGGAAAGUGGAGUAAAAGAGCAACAUUGCAAUCUGUGAUCAGCUUCUAAACUGUCAGAAUCUAUGCAGAAGUCAGCUGGAUAUAUUUUUAUUAACAUUCUUUAAAGGGUAGUCUGCUAGGUGUAAUGAACACAAAGCAAAUUCACAUAUUGUAUUAGUGCAUCAGUCAACAAAAAUCUGCAUCAUCUUUUUAAACACAACUCUUUUUACCUUGUAUAUAUGAUUUGGGUGGGGUGGCACUACUGUAACUAAAGUGCUCCAGUACAGAUGUAUCUCGGGAAAAACACAGCAACACCUGCAGAAAAGAAAGUCAGCUGAUUAACCGGAUCAAAGCAAUGUCAAACAAAUUUAAUGUCUUAAUUAGCACCUAUUAGAUGCUAUUUAAGAGAGCCAAUAAGGUUGAAAACUCUUCACCACCUUAGCUUGUUUUCCUGCUCAAAUUUCCAGGCUCACUUUGAACUUGCUAUAAUUUUACAUUCAUGUUCAUUUGUUAUCAGUUUUAUAUCCACAUUCUUUUACCUUCCUUCUUCCCCCUCAGCAGGUGUUCAUCCCCUUCCGUCACAACAUUAGUGACUGUAUGUGUAUCUGGCUGCUUUUACAUUUUUUAGACUGUUUUUCAACUCAGUUACUGUAACCUGGGGAUGUCCUACUAAGUGAAUGAGCAAACUAAUCAUUUACGCUCUUGAAUGUGUGCAGUUCUGGAAGAACUUACAUUUGCUUUCAUUCCCAGGAUCCUUACAAAAUGUUUGCAUGCAAUUCAGCUCUUUCAAAAAACAGAUUAUAAUGCUCACCUUGUAUCCUAAAAUCACAAAUGUGCAUCGUA